rnacentral:rRNA from 1 species
CUACGGGUCGCAGCAGUGGGGAAUAUUGCACAAUGGACGAAAGUCUGAUGCAGCAACGCCGCGUGGAGGAUGACACAUUUCGGUGCGUAAACUCCUUUUAUAUAGGAAGAUAAUGACGGUACUAUAUGAAUAAGCACCGGCUAACUCCGUGCCAGCAGCCGCGGUAAUACGGAGGGUGCAAGCGUUACUCGGAAUCACUGGGCGUAAAGAGCGUGUAGGCGGGUAGUUAAGUCAGAAGUGAAAUCCAAUAGCUCAACUAUUGAACUGCUUUUGAAACUGAUUACCUAGAAUAUGGGAGAGGUAGAUGGAAUUUCUGGUGUAGGGGUAAAAUCCGUAGAGAUCAGAAGGAAUACCGAUUGCGAAGGCGAUCUACUGGAACAUUAUUGACGCUGAGACGCGAAAGCGUGGGGAGCAAACAGGAUUAGAUACCCCUGUAGUC